UAGGUCCUUUCUGCUUCCCCCUCCAGCAUCACCAUCACCAAUGGUAUGGUCCUUAGCAUCAGGUCCUUUUUGUCCCCCAUUGGUCUCCUGAGCAGACCUGAAGCAGCUCCAUCACAUCCUGAUGCAUCCUGAGCCCCUCAGUGCCUUGCUCUUUCUUGAGCACUGUGAACUGGAUCAAGUUGUUUGAAAAUGGUCAGAAGUUGCUCUUGAUCACUUCAGACAUGAGCAGCAAAAAUCAUUUCUGACCAGUUAAAAUCCAUUUGAACUAGUUUAAGCUCAUUUUGCAGAGCUGGAGCCUGAGGUGGGUAAACCCAGGAAGAUGGCUGAAGACUGCUGACUCAAGCCAAGACAAGGAGCCAGGGCUGAAGAUUCACAGAUCUCUCGGAUUCCAGAUUCACUUCUUCCCCUAGCUCACCCUGGAGCUGUGGCUACUGGAAAUCCUGAGAUAUGUGACCAGCACUAAUUUCCCUGCUGCCUUGCUGACCUGCAGAAUGCAGCUGUGAGAUGGUGUAUCAACCAGCACCAGUGUGGAAUGGAGAAGAUCAACUGGCCCAGGUCUUGGAAGGCUUCAAGAAGAAGAUGACAUUGGAAAUGAGUCGUAAAGGAUAUGUAGAACUGUAAGGUGGAAAAUACAGGGUUGUCAUGUGAAUGAAAUAGAAGACUCAGGCUGCAGUGGAAAUCAGCCAGUGACUGUAGAGUCCACCCUGUCCCAGCAGUCCCAGCUGCCUAACAGCAGGAUGUCAUCAAAAUGAAGAAAUUCCAAGAGAGUUAUUGGAUGAUGACUUGGAUUCACCACAUAAAAUGCAGGACGUCCUGAUGGAUGGUGUGUGAAAAUAGAAUACAGGAAACUCCUGAAGGUAUUUCUGACCAGAGCUGCCAUGAUUAGCUUGUCAAGAGGAAUAGCCAGUCAGCAUGUCAACAUUCCAACAGCUUCCCCAGAAACUGGCCACAAGCCAAAGUCCCAAAAGCAAGUGGACAUUGAGCAUCAUUUCUUCAUCCUCCCAUAAAUGGUGGUUCCCUAGUAGUAUGUUAAGUAAAUAAGGAAAGACCUUAGUAGGUCCCAUCCUCUAUUACCUAAUUCAGAAACAAGAGGAAGCUGGGCAUGGUGGCAUAUUCCUUUAGUCCCAGAACCCAGGAAGCAGAUCAAGGACAACCUGUUCUACGUACUGUGUUCCAGGCCAGUUGGGGCUACAUGGAGACCCUGCCUCAAAAAACAAAGAUAAAACCAAACAGACACAAGAGGAAUGUAGGAAACAGGGUGUCUUACAGGGCAAAAUGGAGAAUAUCUCAGUCACCAUGGAAAAUAGAUUGCAAUGGGUCAGAUACAAUGUAAAAGGAAAUGUGUGUAGGGUUGAGUCAUAAGGAAAACUUGGAAAAAAGUACAUCAGUAUAGUAAAUAUCUAAAUCAUUAUAAAAUACACAAAUAUUUCUUACCUGCUACUCAUAAGAGGAAAUAUUCUACAUUAAUAGAUUUUGGUUUUGUUUUUUGGGGACACGAUCUCCCUGCAGCCCCAGCUGGCCUAGAACUUGCUAUGUAGACUCAGUCUCUCAGAUCUGUGUGAUUCUGCCUUCUGAGGGCUGAGAUUCAAGUCAUAUAUCACCACACCCAGUUAGUAGUAGAUUUUUAAAUGGAAGAUUUAAGUUGAUACUUUGUAGAACUUGGGCAAUUGUUGUAGAUAUACUAACACUCCUUUUUUCUCUAUGAUUUUUUUCUCCCAGUUCAUUGUCCUAAUAGUAUUAAGCCUUCUUUAUAGACUGUUUUUCUGAUAACACUGUAGCUCUAGAAAUGCCACAUUCAUUCAGAAAAUGCUCUUUUAUGAGACAGAGAUACAGAAUGUAAACUACAUCAGCUUUAAUUCAGAAUUUUACUUUUUGUCCAAGCUUUCAAAUAAUAGGACUGAUGUUAUAGUCUCAUAAGCUCUGUCGAUUUGAUAGGAAUUGGCUAUUAGUUUUAAAUGUUAAAGAGAAUAAUGAAUUUUUGAGUUGAUACAUGUUACUUUGGUUUAAUGAUGAUCCUUCAGAGGUAAUAUUUGUGACACUUUUUAGAGUGAUACUGUUAUUUAUAGUAUAAUGUUAUUUGUGCAUUGUAGAGUUUUGCCAUUUUUAUAUUUUAAUUAUUAUUUUUAUUUUAUGUA